rnacentral:rRNA from 1 species
UACGUAGGGUGCGAGCGUUGUCCGGAAUUAUUGGGCGUAAGGGGCUCGUAGGCGGUUUGUCGCGUCGGGAGUGAAAACGCCGUGCUUAACACGGCGCUUGCUUUCGAUACGGGCAGACUAGAGGUAUGCAGGGGAGAACGGAAUUCCUGGUGUAGCGGUGAAAUGCGCAGAUAUCAGGAGGAACACCGGUGGCGAAGGCGGUUCUCUGGGCAUUACCUGACGCUGAGGCGCGAAAGCGUGGGUAGCAAACAGG